ACUAUUUUGGCAGAAAGAAAAGGAAAUGUGAUGAAUUUAGAAUUCAUGAAUGUGUUAUUUACACAAAUAGUA
rnacentral:tRNA from 1 species